rnacentral:lncRNA from 1 species
ACAAAACUAGGCAGAGAUAAGUUGCCUCGGCCAAGGCUAUGCCGUGACUGGGCUUUUGACUCUGUGGUCAGAGCGUCCAGGGAGGCCUUGGCAGUUGUCACUCCAAGAGCCACCCUCUGCCGCCUUCUGAGCUCCUGGACUUAGAGGCCCCUCUGUGAUCUCCGUCUGCUUUUCGUGGUCCCUUCCAGGGGCACCUUUGAACUGAUGGGAGAGCUUGGGACGGACCCAAGCCUUUUCUUUAUCAUGGCACCCAUCACCAGGGUUGGCAGGAGCACCCGUCACAGGGACCCUUAGCAUCAGAUCAGAACAUCAGAAAUGGAAGGAAGCAGAGAGGUGAUCUUAUCCAGCCCCCUCAUUUUACAGAAGAAGAGGUGAAAACCCAGAGAGGUCAAACCUCGUGCUUGUGCUAACGCAGGCAAUCAGGGGCCAAAUCAGGUCUUGAACCCAGGUUGUCCGGCUCUCAGCAAAGAGCCCUUUGUCACUGUACCACAAGGGAAACCACCAAUCAUGUCCUCACAGAUGUCAGGAGCCUGUGGACGGAAGGGAAGAGUCCAAGCCACUCCUGGAAUGCGUCCCCCUUCCCCAGACCGAAUGGCUGCUUUCUCCUACUGCAGGAACCCAAUGGUUUUCUCUACCACUUGUACGAAGUGUUGGACUGCAUUUCUCCUGAGCUUAUGUGGGCAGCCGUCGGGCCGGAGGGCAAGCAGAAGAGGUUUUAUUAUGUUCUGAAGGAGCAAGUGUCCUCCUUCUCCAAAGCCUUGCUGACCCUGGCAGAGGCCUGCUACCCGAUGACUGAGCUGCUGGCCCAGCACGUGUUUGAAGAUCUCAUGGAGAGAUGUGAAGCUCUGCUGGCUCACUGCUGAACCUGGGCUUGGG